GUCCAUGGCCGUACCACCCUGUGCCUGAUCUCAUUUGAUCUUAGAAGCUAAGGGGUUGAGCCUGGUUAGUACUUGGAUGGGAGACUAUGAAAGCAGGAUGUGAAGGAAA
rnacentral:rRNA from 1 species